rnacentral:rRNA from 1 species
GAUGAACGCUAGCGGGAGGCCUAACACAUGCAAGCCGAGCGGUAUUUGUUCUUCGGAACAGAGAGAGCGGCGCACGGGUGCGGAACACGUGUGCAACCUGCCUUUAUCUGGGGGAUAGCCUUUCGAAAGGAAGAUUAAUACCCCAUAAUAUAUUGCGUGGCAUCACUUGAUAUUGAUAACUCCGGUGGAUAGAGAUGGGCACGCGCAAGAUUAGAUAGUUGGUGAGGUAACGGCUCACCAAGUCAAUGAUCUUUAGGGGGCCUGAGAGGGUGAUACCCCACACUGGUACUGAGGCACGGACCAGACUGCGACGGGGGGGAGCGGUGAGGAAUAUUGUACGAGGGGUUAGGGCCUGAUCCAGCCAUCCCGCGUGAAGGACGCCGGCCCUAGGGGUGGUAAACUUCUUUUGUAUAGGGAUAAACCUACUCUCGUGAGAGUAGCUGAAGGUACUAGACGAAUAAGCACCGGCUAACUCCGUG